rnacentral:rRNA from 1 species
GGGAACGUACCCUUCGGUUCGGAAUAACUCAGGGAAACUUGAGCUAAUACCGGAUACGCCCUUUUGGGGAAAGGUUUACUGCCGAAGGAUCAGCCCGCGUCUGAUUAGCUUGUUGGUGGGGUAACGGCCUACCAAGGCGACGAUCAGUAGCUGGUCUGAGAGGAUGAUCAGCCACACUGGGACUGAGACACGGCCCAGACUCCUACGGGAGGCAGCAGUGGGGAAUAUUGGACAAUGGGCGCAAGCCUGAUCCAGCCAUGCCGCGUGAGUGAUGAAGGCCUUAGGGUUGUAAAGCUCUUUUGUCCGGGACGAUAAUGACGGUACCGGAAGAAUAAGCCCCGGCUAACUUCGUGCCAGCAGCCGCGGUAAUACGAAGGGGGCUAGCGUUGCUCGGAAUCACUGGGCGUAAAGGGCGCGUAGGCGGCCGAUUAAGUCGGGGGUGAAAGCCUGUGGCUCAACCACAGAAUUGCCUUCGAUACUGGUUGGCUUGAGACCGGAAGAGGACAGCGGAACUGCGAGU